CAGAACCAAGAACAUCAGGCACAUUUAGGAUGCGCUGGUGGACACACCAGCUCCAGCAUUUUAUGGCGGUGCACUACCAUGAAGGGCCAUCUCUGAAUCAGCUUCUCUCUACUGAUGAACAGAAAGAACCUUUUUUCCCAUUGCAAGUUCCUGCUAACCCACUCAAGAUAAAUAUGAAUUAAUAGGCA